rnacentral:rRNA from 1 species
UACGGAGGGUGCAAGCGUUAAUCGGAAUUACUGGGCGUAAAGCGUGCGUAGGCGGUUCGUUAAGUCUGUUGUGAAAGCCCCGGGCUCAACCUGGGAAUGGCAAUGGAUACUGGCGAGCUAGAGUGUGUCAGAGGAUGGUGGAAUUCCCGGUGUAGCGGUGAAAUGCGUAGAGAUCGGGAAGAACACCCGUGGCGAAGGCGGCACUCUGGGACGGUACUGACGCUGAGGAGCGAAAGCAUGGGGAGCGAACAGG